GUGCCUGCUUCGGCAGCACAUACACUAAAAUUGGAAUGACACAGAGAAGAUUAGCAUGGCCUCUGUAUAAGAAUGACGUGCAAAUCCGCGAAGCAUUCCUUAUUUUU